CCUACGGGUGGCUGCAGUGAGGAAUAUUGGUCAAUGGACGAGAGUCUGAACCAGCCAAGUAGCGUGAAGGAUGACUGCCCUAUGGGUUGUAAACUUCUUUUAUAUGGAAAUAAAAUGUUCCACGUGUGGGAUUUUGUAUGUACCAUAUGAAUAAGGAUCGGCUAACUCCGUGCCAGCAGCCGCGGUAAUACGGAGGAUCCGAGCGUUAUCCGGAUUUAUUGGGUUUAAAGGGAGCGUAGGUGGAUUGUUAAGUCAGUUGUGAAAGUUUGCGGCUAAACCGUAAAAUUGCAGUUGAAACUGGCAGUCUUGAGUACAGUAGAGGUGGGCGGAAUUCGUGGUGUAGCGGUGAAAUGCUUAGAUAUCACGAAGAACUCCGAUUGCGAAGGCAGUUCACUGGACUGCAACUGACACUGAGGCUCGAAAGUGUGGGUAUCAAACAGGAUUAGAUACCCUAGUAGUC
rnacentral:rRNA from 1 species